rnacentral:lncRNA from 1 species
AAGUCAGACCUCUGCAUCAUAUCUAUGUAGGUGAUCGGAUCCUCAUUGUUCUCAUUGAGUUCAACAGGAUCUUCGUUCUGGACUAAGAAACCUAAGUAUUUGUUCAGCUGACGCAGUACUCCACCAGAUUGCCUUAAAGAUGUUUGUGUGUUGGGCUUCGGGUUUGAUCUCAUCAAAUCUGAUUGAGAUUCAAUCAUUGGUGUCGCUCUUCUACCUGUCGAACUUUAUCAAGUUCGAUUUUAGAGGCACUUAUUCCUUUAGUAAAGAAUUUUUUUUCAAAAAGUGUGCCUUACUGCUGACAAAUAUCUUUUGUUUAGCAGUCAGAUAAAAGUAAUAUCCCCUUAUUUUCUUAGGGUAUCCUAUGAAGUUUCAUUUACCUGACCUAGGACUAAGCUUGUCAGUUUGUAAUCAUUUAACAUAAGCCGGACACCCCCAGAUCUUAAAGUAAGAGAGGUUCGGCCUACGUCCUGACCAUAUCUCAUAUGAUGUCUUACUAACUAACUUGCUCAGUAC